UACGGAGGACCCGAGCGUUAUCCGGAUUUAUUGGGUUUAAAGGGAGCGUAGGUGGAUUGUUAAGUCAGUUGUGAAAGUUUGCGGCUCAACCGUAAAAUUGCAGUUGAAACUGGCAGUCUUGAGUACAGUAGAGGUGGGCGGAAUUCGUGGUGUAGCGGUGAAAUGCUUAGAUAUCACGAAGAACUCCGAUUGCGAAGGCAGCUCACUAGACUGCAACUGACACUGAUGCUCGAAAGUGUGGGUAUCAAACAGG
rnacentral:rRNA from 1 species